rnacentral:rRNA from 1 species
CAUGCAAGUCGAGCGGGGGAAGGUAGCUUGCUACUGGACCUAGCGGCGGACGGGUGAGUAAUGCUUAGGAAUCUGCCUAUUAGUGGGGGACAACAUCUCGAAAGGGAUGCUAAUACCGCAUACGUCCUACGGGAGAAAGCAGGGGAUCUUCGGACCUUGCGCUAAUAGAUGAGCCUAAGUCGGAUUAGCUAGUUGGUGGGGUAAAGGCCUACCAAGGCGACGAUCUGUAGCGGGUCUGAGAGGAUGAUCCGCCACACUGGGACUGAGACACGGCCCAGACUCCUACGGGAGGCAGCAGUGGGGAAUAUUGGACAAUGGGGGGAACCCUGAUCCAGCCAUGCCGCGUGUGUGAAGAAGGCCUUAUGGUUGUAAAGCACUUUAAGCGAGGAGGAGGCUACUCUAGUUAAUACCUAGGGAUAGUGGACGUUACUCGCAGAAUAAGCACCGGCUAA